rnacentral:tRNA from 1 species
GUCGUCGUGGCCGAGUGGUUAAGGCGACAGACUUGAAAUCUGUUGGGCUCUGCCCGCACUAGUCCGAAUCUUGUCGGCGACG